CGUACACUCCUACGGGAGGCAGCAGUGGGGAAUAUUGGACAAUGGGCGCAAGCCUGAUCCAGCCAUGCCGCGUGAGUGAUGAAGGCCCUAGGGUUGUAAAGCUCUUUCACCGGUGAAGAUAAUGACGGUAACCGGAGAAGAAGCCCCGGCUAACUUCGUGCCAGCAGCCGCGGUAAUACGAAGGGGGCCAGCGUUGUUCGGAUUUACUGGGCGUAAAGCGCACGUAGGCGGACUAUCAAGUCAGGGGUGAAAUCCCGGGGCUCAACCCCGGAACUGCCUUUGAUACUGGUAGUCUUGAGUUCGAGAGAGGUGGGUGGAAUUCCGAGUGUAGAGGUGAAAUUCGUAGAUAUUCGGAGGAACACCAGUGGCGAAGGCGGCUCACUGGCUCGAUACUGACGCUGAGGUGCGAAAGCGUGGGGAGCAAACAGGAUUAGAAACCCUGGUAGUCCCAUGA
rnacentral:rRNA from 1 species